rnacentral:rRNA from 1 species
UACGUAGGGGGCAAGCGUUGUCCGGAAUUAUUGGGCGUAAAGAGCGUGUAGGCGGUCCGGUAAGUCGGCUGUGAAAGUCCAGGGCUCAACCCUGGGAUGCCGGUCGAUACUGCCGGACUAGAGUUCGGAAGAGGCGAGUGGAAUUCCCGGUGUAGCGGUGAAAUGCGUAGAGAUCGAGAGGAACACCAGUGGCGAAGGCGAGUUCCUGGACAAUUGCUGACGCUCAGGCACGAAAGCGUGGGGAGCAAAAGGG